rnacentral:rRNA from 1 species
ACUACGGGUGGCAGCAGUGAGGAAUAUUGGUCAAUGGGCGCGAGCCUGAACCAGCCAAGUAGCGUGAAGGAUGACUGCCCUACGGGUUGUAACCUUCUUUUAUAAAGGAAUAAAGUGAUGCACGUGUGCCUUUAUGUAUGUACUUUAUGAAUAAGGAUCGGCUAACUCCGUGCCAGCAGCCGCGGUAAUACGGAGGUUCCGAGCGUUAUCCGGAUUUAUUGGGUUUAAAGGGAGCGUAGAUGGGUUGUUAAGUCAGUUGUGAAAGUUUGCGGCUCAACCGUAAAAUUGCAAUUGAUACUGGCAGUCUUGAGUACAGUUGUGGUAGGCGGAAUGCGUGGUGUAGCGGUGAAAUGCUUAGAUAUCACGAAGAACUCCGAGUGCGAAGGCAGCUUACUAAACUGCCACUGACAUUGAUGCUCGAAAGUGUGGGUAUCAAACAGGAUUAGAUACCCGAGUAGUC